rnacentral:rRNA from 1 species
GUAGGGGGCAAGCGUUGUCCGGAAUCAUUGGGCGUAAAGCGCGCGUAGGUGGCCCGGUAAGUCCGCUGUAAAAGUCCAGGGCUCAACCCUGGAAAGCCGGUGGAUACUGUCGGGCUCGAGUCCGGAAGAGGCGAGUGGAAUUCCUGGUGUAGCGGUGGAAUGCGCAGAUAUCAGGAGGAACACCGAUGGCGAAGGCAGCUCGCUGGGACGGUACUGACACUGAGGCGCGAAAGCGUGGGGAGCGAACAGGAUUAGAUACCCUGGUAGUCCACGCCGUAAACGAUGGGCACUAGGUGUGGGAGGUGUCGACUCCUCCCGUGCCGGCGCUAACGCAUUAAGUGCCCCGCCUGGGGAGUACGGCCGCAAGGCUA